GAUGAACGCUGGCGGCGUGCCUAACACAUGCAAGUCGAGCGAUUCUCUUCGGAGAAGAGCGGCGGACGGGUGAGUAACGCGUGGGUAACCUGCCCUGUACACACGGAUAACAUACCGAAAGGUAUGCUAAUACGAGAUAACAUACUUUUAUCGCAUGGUAGAAGUAUCAAAGCUCCGGCGGUACAGGAUGGACCCGCGUCUGAUUAGCUAGUUGGUAAGGUAACUGCUUACCAAGGCGACGAUCAGUAGCCGACCUGAGAGGGUGAUCGGCCACAUUGGAACUGAGACACGGUCCAAACUCCUACGGGAGGCAGCAGUGGGGAAUAUUGCACAAUGGGCGAAAGCCUGAUGCAGCAACGCCGCGUGAGCGAUGAAGGCCUUCGGGUCGUAAAGCUCUGUCCUCAAGGAAGAUAAUGACGGUACUUGAGGAGGAAGCCCCGGCUAACUACGUGCCAGCAGCCGCGGUAA
rnacentral:rRNA from 1 species